rnacentral:misc_RNA from 1 species
AAGUUUAGGAAUAGCUAUUUCAGAGGCUGUGGAGGUUGCAGCGAAGAACGCUGACACCAAGUAUUGUUUGGGAAGUGUUCUGAAUCAUGUUUUGUUACAUCAGACCGUUAUCGGUGAGGAGUGUAUAAAACAGAUGGAGGAUUUCGGAGAGACUCCAGAUGUGAUCAUCGGUUGCACGGGAGGUGGAUCUAAUUUUGCAGGACUUGCUUUCCCGUUUAUCCGGGAGAAGCUUAAGGGGAGAAUUAACCCUCUUAUUAGAGCGGUUGAACCUACAGCUUGCCCCUCGUUGACGAAAGGUGUGUAUGCUUACGACUAUGGAGACACCGCAGGCAUGACUCCUUUAAUGAAAAUGCAUACACUUGGUCAUGACUUCAUACCGGAUCCCAUCCAUUCCGGGGGUCUCCGUUACCACGGCAUGGCACCACUGAUAUCACACGUCUAUGAACUCGGAUUCAUGGAAGCAAUAUCAAUUCCGCAGAUUGAAUGUUUCCAAGGUGCUAUUCAGUUUGCGAGGUCUGAGGGGUUGAUACCAGCACCAGAACCAACGCAUGCUAUAGCCGCUACUAUAAGGGAAGCUCUAAGAUGUAAAGAGACCGGAGAAUCGAAAGUUAUACUCAUGGCAAUGUGUGGACAUGGACAUUUUGAUUUGUCAUCUUACGAUAAGUAUUUGCAGGGAAGCAUGGUUGAUUUGUCCUUCUCAGAAGAGAAAAUAAAAGCCUCACUCGCGAAGAUACCACAACCAGUAUCAUAAGUUGAUCCAAGUCGAGGAGACGAUGAAAAUAGGAGGUACGUAGUGGAAUUUGGUUUGUACUUUUCUCCACGAAUAAUGUUUUCGUAGUUCUGCCAAGUUGAAGAAUAACAUGCCCCCAACCCCCUCAAUCUUUUGAUCGAAUAAUAUUCGAUACAAUUAGUUGUAGCUUUGUAAGUUGUUGUGUGGCCUUCAACUUUUCGAGUUGUGUGUAAUCAUCUAUAUGAUUGACUUGACAACAAUGAAGGAUCUGGGAGUGGCAUUUCAUCAUUUUGUGCUAAGUUUU